UAUAAGCUUAUAAGUAGGGUUAAUUCAAUAAAUCCCAGUCCCAACAAAGGAGAAGCACUUUACUGGGUUCCCUCUCUGGAGGUAUUCAAAGGGGAAUGGGAUAAACCUCUUGAUAUGAAUACCGUAUAAACAUAGCAAAAAAUAAAGCUCCAGAUUAGUUUUCCUUGGAUUUUCAAUGUCAUUCAAAUUGCAUGAAUUCUAUUAUUACUUUUAGGAAACACUAUAUAUAGACUUGGCUGCAAAAUACCAGAUUUUUAGCACCCAAGAAGUCAAGAUUUGAAUCUCUAAACUCUGCUUUGACAAUCUUCUUCCUGCUCUAUUAUAAGUAUCUCCAACUUGUCUUAUUGGAAAUUCAUGGACAUAAGUUUUAUUAGCAUUAAUGAGACUUUAGUAUCUAAUGUGGUAGUAGUCAUAAUCAUAACAUUUUUCUCUCAUUGCUGAAGGCCUCUGAUAGUAUUUUGAAAAUGUGUAUAAAAAUCUACUCUGGCAAUUUAAAUAAGUGGUGUGAUUCAGGUUUGGAUCACGUGAUAACUGAUUUUUACUGACCAUAAACAAAGCUUUACUAUCUUCCUUUGUCUUUUCUAUUGCAAAUGCUUUGUGCAGCAUACACAUUUGUCCACUGGGUGGCAAUAUGUACUCAAGAAUGUUCACUGUUCCUAGUUUAUCAAUCUAGUUGAAUCCAACAUGUCAAGCUCCUUUUUGCAUCAGGAAAUAGCCAUUGUAUCAAAUCUGAAGAAACAGUAUCAUCUGAAUUCAAGCUGCUACCUAGCAGUAACUAAGGAGAUUUUGAUAAUAUUAAUACUUCCUAAACUUAACUCAGCCACACUCUUCUCUCAACAUGUUCACACAUUUGCAAAAUAGAUAUCCCUCCUGGUCUUCUUAUUCCUUGCCCCCUUUAUAGUUGUUCAUACCCUACUUCUUAAACGUAUGCCCUUUUAAAAUUUCCCUAAACUAUUUUCCAACUCCAAUACUCUUAGUGCCCUAUCUCUUAUUUCAGUGGUUCUUGCCUUACAAUGAACUAUCCCUUUUUUUUUCUUUUCAUUUUGUUUCUUGAUUUCACGCCUCCACAGUGAAAUCAAGAGACAUACCAUUAAGCUCUUGUGUAAUGACAUAUGCAUCCCCUCUGAUUUGGUCCCACAUCCUAGAGAAGCAGAGUAAGUCUUGGAUAGUCACAUAAUCUUGGGAAGUCAUGUAGUUCUUUUCACUUUAAUUCUGUCCAAAAUGCAGAAUACAACCAAUUAACUAGCUCUAUGUAAGAUUUAUCUUCAGUUAAGAGAGGGAAAAAAUUCCAAGAAAUGAAAUUGCAUAUUACAUAUGAUUACAACAUAAGAAAACCCACAGAAAUAUAUACAUAUUUAAAAAAUUGACAAUAAUAAUAGUAGCUGUGUUGGAUGAUGAAAUUAUGAAAGCUUGCUUAUAUUUCUUCUUUUGGCUUUUUCUAUAUUUUUCCUAUAUUUUAUUUCAUAAGAAAUAUAUUUUUCAAGUGAAAAAGUAUAACUGCAAAAACAUCUUUUACCUUUCUCCUUCCUUGAUUGAAAAAAAAAUUCCUGUAGCUUUAAUAUAUCCUUUUAUUUAAUUUUCCAAGAAGUACUUAAUAAUACUUUGACAUUUUCUUGAAUCUCCACAUGGUGCUUAGUGUGAUGGGAAGAUUGGCUUAUGCUCUUUUUCUUUUUCUUUUUUUAAGAAUAGCUUUUGGAUUUAUAGAGAAUUGAAAAUAUCCCAUACCCAGUUUUCCCUAUUACUAACAUCUUAUGUUAAUUUGGUACACUUGUCACUGUUAAUAAGCCAAUAUUGUUACAAUGAACUAAAGUCCAGGCUUUUUUCAGAUUCCCUAUGUUUUCACCUAAUGUCCUUUUUCUGUUCCAGGACCCCUUCCAGAAUACCACUUUACAUUUAGUCACUGUGUCUCCUUUUGGUUGUGAUGGUUUCUCAGACUUUCCUGAUUUUCCGUGACUUUAGCAGCUUUGAGGAAUAUUAGUCAGGUAUUUGGUAAAAUGUCCCUCAAGUGGGAUUUCUCAGAUGUCUUACUAAUGAUUAGGCUUGGAUUAUGGAUUUGGGGAGGAAGACCACAGAAACAAAGUCAUAGCAAAGGUAAGUACUGUCAGUAUGAUUUAGUGCUGUUGGCCAUCUGGCUAAAGCAGCAUUUGCCAGGUUUCUCCACUGUGACACUGCUCUUUCCUCCCCUUCCAUGCUUUCCUCCUGGGUGAUGCCUGCACAGCCACCAAUUAACUUUGCUCCACCUCCGGAGGGCAGAGUAUGUACAGAAAUUACUUGAAAUAUUUCUGCACAGAGACUUGUGGGUGGAAAAACCUAUUCGCCCUCUUAUUUCAGAUCAGAAAUAGCAGCAAUCAGAGAUGAUGACAAGGCUCUGUAAAUUCUGGGUGGAAGAAAGAUCUUCAUUCAUAUGGUGUGCCCCAUGGGACAUUCUGCCUUCCAGCUGACAGCAUCGUCUGUUUUUUUUUUUAAAAAAAAAAACCCCACCCAAAAACCUUGUGUUUUCAAUCAAGACUGAAGAUGAGAAAUUUUCCUGUUGGGGUGAAAGUUGUAACAUGCAUGGCCUGUCAGAUUUGCAUUCUUUGAUAUGAUGUCCAUGUCCAGACCAUGGAUUCUUGAAGUGGCAUUCAAACUUUACUCCAAGAUGGUGGAGAAAAGAAAUCAGGAGACCUAAAUGGAAUAUAUGCAACAAACCAGAUCAGGGGCUGAUAGUCAGAGAUGGAAAUUCUGCUACUGAGACGAGGAAGCCAGGAGGCAGAAACCGGAAAGGAACCAGAGCCAAAAGUCACAGUUAGCAAAGCUCAGGGCCAAUGCCCAAGACAAGAACCAGAGGAGCAAUUAACUGGGAGCAAGAAUGUCUAGAGUCAGCAUUCAGAAACUGCCCCCAUGACAUUCUUUCCUCACCUUGGACAGGGCAACUCCUUUGGAAAGCACCCACCACAUCUGGGCUUUGGAAGUGCAAUUAAUCUUGGAGUCAUUAGUCUUACACUAUGAGGAGAAAGAAGAGAGACAAACUCUUCACACCCUAGCCUCUGGAGUCUUAAAACUCACUGAGUUAGUAUUACUGAGGCAGGGCCUGGACGAGUGUGGGCAAGUGAGGUGCCUGGGAGGCCCACAUAAGGAGGCAUUCACACUUAGGAUCAGACAGAUGCAGGUUGUUGAGGCUCUGGGAUGGGAAGACUGAGCCCCACCAGAACUGACUGAUAUCUGAUGGUCUCUGUUUCCCUUUGACAUUAGGCCACAAGUCCACUCUGAAUCAGUCUGUGGAGUUCAUGGCAUUUAUUGAAUUAAAAUACCUGAUUAACAUUUGCUGCUCCCUGGCAUUUAAUGAUGGAUAAAAAUAAAAUCCUAAAUUAAUGCAACAGAGGAUUUUUAAUUUGCACCAUGGUAAUGGCAUUUUCCCCUUUCUCCUUUUGCUGACCAAGAAGUUCCAAAUACCGUUCAAGAAUUUAUUUGUUUCAAAAAGAGCAGAGAGGAAGUUACUGAGAGACCCCAGCAAAUGCUGAAUGAGUAGAUAAUGAAUUAGAACUGAGGACAAGGAGAAUAGGACUCACAUAAACUCUAUGAAAACACCCAGUUCUUUUAUUUUAGUUUCACUAGGUGGUUGAAGUAACAAGCUUGUUUUACUUUAUAGACUUUUUAAAACAUCAUUUUACAGAAAGUAUAAGAGGUAGUUGUGU